CCCCUUCACCCCACCCCGCCCCCCCCCGCCCCAACCGGGUGCCACCAGCCUGUCAUUCUGAGAGCAGUUCCACAACCUGAACGCCCCUGGGCGCAGCGGAUGCCCGUGCAGGGUGCCAGGCUCUCCCUGAAGGCCCAAGGUCUCUGCCCACCAGGAUUUCCAAUCCCUGCACGCAACAUGGGGAAAAAAGGAAGUGGCUGGUGACAGGGUGGGGAUGGUGAGUUUAGCCCAGGGCCCUCCUCAUGAGCCGUCCUCUCCCCCUCCUGGGCGGAAGGCCGGGGAGACACAGGAGUCCAGGGAGUGAGUGCACCAGAAGCCUAAAGGAGGCCCAGGGUGGAAGGACUCCAGGCGGGUGGUUGGAGGCCUCUUCUUUUACAUGAGGGCUCCUCUGAUACACAGCCCUCUGGGGAGAGGGCCGGACCAUCCUGCAGCCCACAGCUCUGGGGACCCCCAGGAAAACCUACCAGAAGAGGCUGGAGGCAAGAGGGUCUGAAGGCUGCUGGCUGAUGUGAAAGGUAACCUUCUGAGAAGGGGCCGAAGGGGCAGGCCUGCAGGGGGACCAGAGGGGCCCAGCCUUCUAGCUGUUCUUCUGCCGCCCCCACCAAUGCCUCCCAACCCCGCCCCAUGCACAGAAUCUCUCCCGGUUUGAGGAGCAGAUUCCAAGGGCCCAGGAGAGGCUCUGCAGCACCCAGUCCAAGGUCUCCUCCUCUCUCUCUCCUGCCCCAGGCCCUAAUCGGCCAGCCUCAGCCCUCACUUUGCUCCGUCCUCACACCGGCCCCGGCCCCAGUCCUUUUUUCUGGUGUGUCCUCUCUUCCAGGGCCCAAGUCCUCUCUACGUAGGAUCCCCCUGUCUCCUCGGUGACUCCUGAACCAGGUAAAUAGAUCCCAGUGGCCACAGAGGCAGCCAGGCUAGACCAAGAAGGGAGGGACUUGGCACAGGAGUUACAGGGUGGCGAGAGGGGGAGGAAGGGAAUGAGGAGGGAGGAAGGUGAAGCAGGAGGGUCAGGAAAGGGGUGGCACUUUGCUGCCACCUCCCCGGCACCCAACACAUCCACGGGGCCCUGGACUCAGCCCCUGGGAGGGAAAGAGGCUGCUCCCCCGAGCGCUGAAGCAGCCUGAGGUCAGCCCUGUCCAGCUCCCCCUCCUCUUCUCCCCUUUCAUCAGCCUCUGUGGAUUGCCUGAGGAGCCGAGACCCUGAUGUCUUCCGCACCAGACCAAAGGCUGGCCCUCGGGCUCUAAUCCUCAGCCUAGGUCCCUCACCUGGAUCCAGGUGGUUGCCAAGCAUGGCUCAGAAGCUCCGAGGGCUCACUUCCAGCCUGGGGAGGUGAGAGCAGGCAUCCAUUUCACUUCUCAGGCAGACCUCCCCCGGCCUCCCUGUCUAAGGAAGUCCCCCCUUGUUAUUCUCUGUUGCUGCGCCCGGUUCAUUUCCUUCUUAGGGUUCAUCACAAUGGGUAACUAAAUGUAUCUACUCAUUUCUUGACUUGCUUACUUGUCUUACCGUCUCCGCCACUAGAGUGGAAGUUCCCUGAGGUCAGACGUCCUGCCUAUGAGAUCACUGUGUAUCUGUGCCCAGGACCUGGCAUACAGCAAGGCUCAGUAAGCACCCAUUCACAGGCCCAGAAUCAGAGCCCAGCCCAGCUGCCGGAUUUGCCGCCUGCUCUCACUCCCCAGGACCAACAGACCCCAGGUUUGGGGGGCACACAUCCUGUCCCCCACCCUCAGGACACAGCCUGCGGUCCCCAUCUUCCCGCGCCCCGCCAGCACCUCCACAGCUCACUUGAGCACAGGUGUCUCUUCACCCAGAUGGGUGUCCAUUCUCGGAUCUGGAAUGUGGAAGUGGAGAACAUGUGGGGGACCUUCCCCCCACACCCCCCAGGUGUUGUUGACUCGGAGCUGAGGAGGGGUCGGACCCUGGACCAGGCUGCAGGGAAUGCCCACACCACCUGAAGAGAGGCCCUCGCCUGCCCUCCCCCUUGUCCUGGCACUGCACAUCUGCGGUGGGCUGAGCAUCUGGCUGCAUCCCUGGGGCAAUGGCCACAGCUGCUGACAUUUGCGGGAGGAACAAGCUUUGUAGAAUAGCGCGCCAGCUCAGAGGCUUCGUGAAGUCCAGGAGGAAAGUCGUUGUCCAGGAAACGUUGCUUCGCUCUGCCUUGCCUGGGGGAGACGGGCCACUGCCUGGUUGGUGACAUCUGGUUGGACUUCAGCUGGCCUGCAUCUCCAGUGGGUCUCUAUCUGCAUCUGUCGUGAUCCCUCAAUGGAGCCACUCAGCCUAGAGCCUGGUGUUCUGCCUGCUGGGAGGGGCUAGACCAGCACCACCCAGUAGUAACAGAAUGGGAACCAUAUUUGUAACCUGGUCUUAAAAAAAGUAAAAAUACAUUGGUGACAUCCAUUUUAAUAGUAUAUUUAUUUAACCUAAUAUAUGUAAAAACAUCAUCCCAGCAUGCAAUCAAAGCACAAAAUUGUUAAAGAGACCAUAUUACAUGCUUUUUCCAUACUAAAUCCUUGAAAUCCAGUGUGUAUUUUAGUUGCAGUACAUUGUAGCCAUGUUUUAGGUGCUCAGUAGCACUGGUGCCUAGUGGCUACUGUAUCGAACUGCACAGGUUUAGAGGAGAUGGCAGCUUAACCUCUUCUUCAGCCCUUCUAGUCCCUUGCUUGGAGAAGGCAAUGGCACCCCACUCCAGUACUCUUGCCUGGCAAAUCCCAUGGAUGGAGGAGCCUGGUAGGCUGCA